rnacentral:lncRNA from 1 species
UGACACUACCAGUUGAUAUCAAUAAGACCUUGAGCCUGACUUUUCCUCCUCUGGAAAAUGGGAAUAUAAAUACUUUCUUAGAGUGUUGUUGGGAGAAUUAAACGAGAAUCUUAAUGUAAACCUAUUCGUAAAGUGUCUGGCUUAAAGAGGGCACUCCUCUUGACAGCUGCUAUGAUUACUAUUAUUGUCUUUUGAAAGAAUUAUCCUCAGGGCUCCAUGCUCAACCCCAUGUACCAUACUAUGAACGUAGCGAUGUCAAGUAGCUUUAAUGCUCUCUUCGCCAGCUGUUUCAGAGCUGAUGAAAACAAAUGCUAUUACUGUGUUUUAGAUUCCAUGACCUGUUGCUAAGACACAAUCACAGAAGAGGACAGUGGAGAGCAUCAGGUUAUAAAAAUAUUGAGCCCAUACCCGAGCAUUCUAAAAUGGCAGAAUCACAUGACGGAAGAAGCCUCGAUUCCUGAAUCACUCUUUGGUGCAGAGCCUCCAGGAAAGGCCCCUGACCUGCACUAGAAUAUGGUGACAGUGAGAAAU